rnacentral:miRNA from 1 species
GCCUGGAUGAGACUAUGUCUCUCUCUCUCUCUCUCUCUCUCUCUCUCUCUCUGUGUGUGUACAUACAUAUACAUACACACACACACACAGAGAGAGAGAGAGAGAGAGAGCAUUUCAAUGAGCCU